rnacentral:rRNA from 1 species
UACGGGGGGAGCAAGCGUUGUUCGGAUUUACUGGGCGUAAAGGGCUCGUAGGCGGCCAACUAAGUCGGACGUGAAAUCCCUCGGCUUAACCGGGGAACUGCGUCCGAUACUGGAUGGCUUGAGUUCGGGAGAGGGAUGCGGAAUUCCAGGUGUAGCGGUGAAAUGCGUAGAUAUCUGGAGGAACACCGGUGGCGAAGGCGGCAUCCUGGACCGACACUGACGCUGAGGAGCGAAAGCCAGGGGAGCAAACGGG